GUGCCAGCCGCCGCGGUAAUACGUAGGGGGCGAGCGUUGUCCGGAAUCAUUGGGCGUAAAGCGCGUGUAGGCGGCUUGGUAAGUCUGGUGUGAAAUCCUGGGGCUUAACCCCAGACCUGCACUGGAUACUGCCAAGCUUGAGUCCGGGAGGGGAGAGCGGAAUUCCUAGUGUAGCGGUGAAAUGCGCAGAUAUUAGGAAGAACACCGGUGGCGAAGGCGGCUCUCUGGAACGGUACUGACGCUGAGACGCGAAAGCGUGGGGAGCGAACAGGAUUAGAUACCCUAGUAGUCC
rnacentral:rRNA from 1 species